GUCCCAGAAUGCAACAGAACAAAACAUUGCCGCCCCUGCCCCCACCUCCACCCCCUCGACUCUCGUCACGCCUCAGCGGGGUUUCUUAUGUUGAAAGGGUUCAUUGUGUCGGGUGCUGAAUGUUGCUCGGACUCCGUGUGUUAUCGUCAGAGCCUCAGGAUUAACGGGACAGCAACUUCCAUGGAGACAGAGUCAUGCGCGCAGACGAGCCUCUAACGGAGAAUGAGACAUUAACGGCGCUUGAUGCGGACAACGAUGUCCCACUGAGACGGUGUCUGUGUCUAUGAUCGUUGCUUUAAAAUGCAAGAAGAUGCGCUGCGAGGCCGAACCGUGGAUAAAGAAUUUCUAAAAGCACGGAUUAACAAUGUAGUGGAUUUACAGCGCGUCUGAUCCAUCGAUGGAAACGUGUAGUGACCUAUGAGGGGGGAAAAAUCAGGAUCUGCGCAUCUUUGAAAACUGUAUUGUGCAUCACCAGGAUUCAUUUUUGAUUGAAAAGAAACACCAACCAGUUUAUCGUCUGGUGUAUGAGCCACUCUCAGCCUCAUCCUCAUCACCAUCAUCUUCGUCAAACAGAGAAACAGAGAAACACAACCAUGGGCAACGCAGAGAGCGUGGACGCGCAGCUCACAGACUUCAGGGCGAGGAACAAGCCGCCCAAACUGCCCAUGCCUGACCCCGCCGAGCUCGAGGAGAGGUUCUCCAUCGCUUUGAACUCUAUGAACCUUCCACCAGACAAGGUGAGACUUCUACGGCAGUACGAUAACGAGAAGAAGUGGGAGCUCAUCUGCGAUCAGGAACGAUUCCAGGUGAAGAAUCCUCCUCACACAUAUAUCCAGAAGCUAAGAGGAUUUCUCGACCCUGCUGUCACAAGAAAGAAAUUCAGGAGGAGAGUUCAGGAAUCCACCCAGGUGCUCCGUGAGCUGGAAAUCUCACUCCGAACUAAUCAUAUUGGGUGGGUAAGAGAGUUUCUGAAUGAAGAGAAUCAAGGCUUGGACGUGCUGGUGGAGUACCUAUCCUUCGCACAAUAUGCCGUUACCUUUGAUGGAGAUGCAGCAGAAAGCGCUAGUGGAGAGGCAUCUGUAGAGACCCCGUGGAGCAGAUCUAUAGAAGAUCUACACGGAGACACCAAUCUGUCCUCACCAGUCAGCAGCAGCAGUAUUCAGCGCUCCACACGACACUCCUUAAGGUCCAACACUCUUCCUAGCCGAAGAACUCUCAAAAAUUCCCGUCUGGUUUGUAAGAAAGAUGAUGUGCACGUCUGUAUCAUGUGUCUCAGAGCCAUUAUGAACUACCAGUACGGCUUCAACAUGGUUAUGUCACAUCCACAUGCAGUAAAUGAAAUUGCUUUGAGCCUCAACAUCAAAAAUCCCAGGACCAAAGCUUUGGUUCUGGAGCUGCUGGCUGCAGUGUGUCUUGUGAGAGGAGGGCAUGAGAUCAUCCUUGCAGCCUUUGACCAUUUCAAAGAGGUCUGUUCAGAGUCUCAGCGGUUUGAGAAGCUAAUGGAGGAUUUUAAAAACGAAGACAACAAUAUUGAUUUCAUGGUUGCAUGCAUGCAGUUCAUCAACAUCGUUGUUCACUCUGUAGAAGACAUGAAUUUUCGAGUUCACCUGCAGUAUGACUUCACCAAGCUUGCACUGGAUGAUUAUCUGGAAAGACUGAAACACACAGAAAGUGAUAAGCUGCAGGUACAGAUCCAGGCGUACCUAGAUAACCUGUUCGAUGUGGGCACACUGCUGGAGGAUGCUGAGACCAAAAACGCAGCGCUGGAACGCGUGGAGGAGCUGGAGGAGAGUCUGUCACAAAUGACGGACAAGCUGCUGGACAUGGAGAAUGAGGCCAUGUCUAAGAUUGUGGAGCUGGAAAAGCAGCUGAUGCAGAAGAACAAGGAGCUGGACUCCCUCCGGGCUUUGUACAGGGACGCUAGCUCUCAGGUGCACUCACUUCGGCGUAUGGUGCGUGAGAAGGAUGAAGCCAUCCAGAAGCAGACCAGGCUGGAGAAGAAGAUUCACGAGCUUGAGCGACGUGGUAGUCUGCAGAUCCAGGUGAGAGGAGAGGGAGAUGGUGAGGGAGAAACGUCCCCUCUGCCCUCUCCUCCUCAGCCCAUGCCUCUCUCACCAUGCCCUGAUGCCAUGGUCCAGGCUGGUGCAGGUGCCAGCAGCUCGUAUGCUUCUUCGUCACAAACUGGAACCCUGAGAAAGAUAGCCACUCCUCCUCCACCUCCACCCCCGCCUCCUCCACCACCACCAAUGCCUGACUCCUCCUUAUCAAACGAACCAUCAGCCGUCACUGCCGCUCCUCCUCCUCCACCACCGCCACCGCCACCUCCUCCACCCCCUCCUCUUGGGCGGGCCAUGGAGAUGUCCACCCCACUACCCCCGCCUCCUCCCCCUGUAGCCCCUCCUCUCCCUGGCUGUGGCACCCCCACAGUCAUAUUCAAUUCAGGCCUAACAGAUGGACCAAUCAAGCUCUUCUCGGUGAAAAUUAAAAAGCCAAUCAAGACCAAGUUCCGGAUGCCGGUCUUUAACUGGGUGGCUCUGAAACCUAAUCAGAUCAAUGGCACUGUUUUUAAUGAGAUUGAUGAUGAAAGGAUUCUGGAGGAUCUGAAUGUGGAUGAGUUCGAGGAGAUGUUUAAGACCAAAGCCCAGGGUCCUUCAGUGGAUAUGACCUUGAGCAAGCAGAAAGCUCCACAGAAAGGCCCCAGUAAAGUGUCACUCCUAGAGGCCAACAGGGCCAAGAACCUUGCCAUCACUUUACGCAAAGCAGGAAAAAGCCCUGAGGAGAUCUGCAAAGCAAUUCAGUCGUUUGACCUACGCACCGUGCCUGUGGACUUCGCCGAGUGUCUGAUGCGCUUUAUGCCCACCGAAGCAGAGGUAAAGACGCUGCGACAGUACGAGAGGGAGCGGCGACCCUUGGUGGAACUCACUGACGAGGAUCGCUUCAUGAUGAUGUUCAGCAAGAUCGAACGGCUACCUCAGAGGAUGACCAUCAUGGCCUUCAUGGGCAACUUUAGUGACAGCCUGCAGAUGCUCACACCGCAACUUCAUGCCAUCAUUGCUGCAUCUGUGUCCAUUAAAUCCUCCCAGAAGUUGAAGAAGAUCCUUGAAAUCAUUCUGGCUCUGGGGAACUACAUGAACAGCAGUAAGAGAGGAGCUGUGUAUGGCUUCAAGCUUCAAAGUUUAGAUUUGCUGCUGGAGACCAAGUCCACAGACAGGAAGCAGACCCUUCUGCACUACAUCGCUAAUGUGGUGAGGGAGAAAUACGCCGUCGUGAGCAUGUUCUACAAUGAACUCCAUUAUGUAGAGAAAGCUGCUGCUGUCUCUCUGGACAAUGUUCUGCUGGAUGUGAGGGAGCUGCAGAGGGGGAUGGAUCUGACUCGUCGUGAAUACAGCAUGCACGGCCACAACUCGCUGCUCAAAGACUUCAUCCAGCACAACGAGAACAGGCUGAAAAAACUACAGGAUGAUGCUAGAAUCUCACAGGACGCUUUCGACGAAGUUGUGAAGUAUUUUGGCGAAAGCCCCAAAACAAUGCCACCUUCUGUCUUCUUCCCAGUCUUUGUCCGCUUUGUUAAGGCCUACAGGCAAGCAGAUGAUGAGAACGAGCAGAAGAAGAAGCAGGAGCAGCUGAUGAUGGAGAAGCUUAUGGAACAAGAGGCAAUGAUGGAAGAGCAGGAGGAUCAACAGUCUCCAUCUCAUAAAGGCAAGAGGCAGCAGCAGGGGCUGAUUGCCGAGCUAAGGAAGAGGCAAGGCAAGGACAGUCGCCAUGUCUACGAGGGCAAAGACGGCGCCAUCGAAGACAUAAUUACAGAUCUUCGGGCAGAGAGAGUUACCACUGAAGAUGGGACAGAAGUAAGGCUUCUAGGCUUUUGGAGUAUGUUGGUUCUCUCCACCUUGGCUGGAGUGUUGUGUUGCAGCUUCUCCUGGACUCUAACCUACUUUGACUCAUUUGAGCCUGGGAUGUCCGGGGGGAUGUCCACACCACUUUCUCCAGCCAAAUUCAGGUUUUAUGCUGGAUUCCCUUACUGACACAGUCAACCCCUCAGUGAUUCACUGCCCAGGUAUCAAACCUGGGCCACAUUGGCAAAUGACUGGCCACUCCUUCCAUAUGGGCUACAGCAUGGCUAUACUCAAUGGCAUUGUGGCCGGACUCGCUUUCUUCUGGUGUCUUAUUUAGGACCUACCCACACAUACCAUCGCCUAGGACACUGUCCUCACCUUAUCUUCAUGAUCAUCAGGCAAAUAUGGGUAAUAAAAAAAAUAGUGAGGGUGCAAAGCUCCUGUUAUUUAUUGGAAUAUGAAUCUGGCUUUGAAUAAUAAAAGAACUUUAAUUAUCAAGGGAUGGUUGUAUACACAAUGCUGAAAGUGUAUGAAACCUGCUUAUGUACCACACAUUUAGAAGAACUGGAAUGUUGCCCUUUAGACAUUAUAAAAAAAACAUCAGAGAAAUAAUUUGUUCUAGGUUAUUAUGAGUACAAAAUAAUGUUUUAUCAUUUGUGUUAAUUUUUUUUUUAAGAGUAACUCAAUGUCGCAGCAGUAAUGUUCUAUUCAUUACAUCUGGAAUGCAUCAGAGCUAACUUUGUUUUUUUGUUGUUGUUUUUUGUAUAGCAAUCAGCUUCCCAAUAGAGUUUUUUAUACAUAUUUUAUACACAUUUCAUAUGCAAACAAUUCAUGGUAGAAAUGGAUAUAUAAUAUAUAAUCUAUAAUAAACAAUAUAAUCUUGUAUGGUGUAUAGUAUGUACAGUGUUCAGAUAAAAUUGUAAAAGUUUAUACAAUUACAAUUAAACAACUUAAUAGUCUGUAAUGAAUAAAUUCCUCAGACACCUUUUGUGUUUUAUUAAGGCAAACAUUCUUUUAAUGAAAUAAAUAUUCAAUACUGCUGUUGAAAGAUAUGGUGAUUUAACCUGUUUUGAAAUGAUUCACUUUCAACAAGAGUUUUCUGUUUGAAAAUAAAGUAGCUAAUUCACCACUUGGUUGACGCAGAGACUUAGUAAUGUUUAGUUAUUCUAAAUAUUGAUGUCUCAUUUUUGCAGCAGCCCAGAAAGGACACCCUGAACCUUUUCUGUGUGACCAGGAAUGAUCAAAACCACAGGCUACUAAACUGAGAUUAAAAGUAAAAUAAGGAAUUUACAUGUGGGAUUUAAUCUUGUGAGAUUUCAUUCCAAACACUUCAAGCUCGUCUCCCCCAUGUUACGAGGACCAUAUAAGCCAUAAACAUGCUAAAUGUUUCACAUACGAGUGAUGUACAGUAUAUUUUGUUCGUUCAUCUAGUAUCUAGUAUCGUUCAGAGGAUUUGUUCUGUAUAAUUUGGGGACUUCUAUCAUAGCCUGUGAUAAUAUUUUUAUUGAUGUUAUUAUUGUGCUAUGUAAGAUUUAUAUGUUAGACAUUUAGUAUAUUAUUUGUUAGUUCUUACAUUCAAAAGUUCCUCAAACUCUCACCGACUAAACUAAAUCUUCUGACAAGAUAUCGUGGUUUUUCUUUUUGUUUUGUUUUGUGGUGUUAUUCCUGUGGACCACUCAGGGAUAUGAAAAUGACUGAUUCAGUACUUAGGUUGUGUAUCAUCUCUCAUUCUCUUUAAAUUCAUGUAUAAAAGAACAAAAUGCCAAUAAACACACAUUUCCAAGUAA